rnacentral:rRNA from 1 species
GAUGAACGCUAGCUACAGGCUUAACACAUGCAAGUCGAGGGGCAGCGCAGUGUAGCAAUACAUGGGCGGCGACCGGCGCACGGGUGCGUAACGCGUAUCCAACCUUCCCGUUACUCUGGGAUAGCCUUCCGAAAGGGAGAUUAAUACCGGAUGGUGUUUGAAUUCCGCAUGUUAUUCAAACUAAAGAUUUAUCGGUAACGGAUAGGGAUGCGUGACAUUAGGUAGAUGGCGGGGUAACGGCCCACCAUGCCUACGAUGUCUAGGGGUUCUGAGAGGAAGGUCCCCCACACUGGAACUGAGACACGGUCCAG